GUCUUUUUGAUAAUAAUUUAAAGUCUAAUCUGCCCACUGAUAAAUAUUAAAGGGCUGCAGUAUAUUGACUGUACAAAGGUAGCAUAAUCAUUAGUUUUUUAAUUGGAAACUUGUAUGAAGGAUUUGAUGAAAUAUAAACUGUCUCUUAAUUAUUAUUAAAAUUUUAUUUUUUAGUUAAAAAGCUAAAAUGAAUUUAAAAGACGAGAAGACCCUAUAGAGUUUUAUAUUUUGUUAUAUUUUAAAAGUUUAUAAAAUUAAUAUUUAAAAUAAAAUAAAAUAUUAUGUUGGGGUGACAGAAAAAUUAAAUAAACUUUUUUUAAAAAUUAAACAUUAAUAAAUGAAUAAUUGAUCCAUAAAUAAUGAUUAUAAGAAAAAAUUACCUUAGGGAUAACAGCGUAAUAUUUUUUUUUAGUUCAAAUAAAAAAAAAAGUUUGCGACCUCGAUGUUGGAUUAAGAUAAAAUUUAAAUGCAAAAGUUUAAAAUUUUGAUCUGUUCGAUCAUUAAAAUCUU
rnacentral:rRNA from 1 species